CUGUAGACACGUAGUUGAUCAGUCGGCUCGAAGGACGACGCUGGCGGCGUGCCUAACACAUGCAAGUCGAACGAAGCUCCCCGAUACAAGGCUUCGGCCAAGUUGAAGGGAUGACUUAGUGGCGGACGGGUGAGUAACGCGUGAGGAACCUGCCUUUCAGUGGGGAAUAACACACCGAAAGGUGUACUAAUACCGCAUAAGACCACGGGAUCACAUGGUUCUGGGGGUAAAAGAUUUUAUCGGUUUGGGGUGGGCUCGCGUCCGAUUAGGUAGUUGGUGAGGUAACGGCCCACCAAGCCGACGAUCGGUAGCCGACCUGAGAGGGUGAUCGGCCACAUUGGGACUGAGACACGGCCCAAACUCCUACGGGAGGCAGCAGUGGGGAAUAUUGCACAAUGGGGGAAACCCUGAUGCAGCGACGCCGCGUGAGUGAUGAAGUAUUUCGGUAUGUAAAACUCUAUCAGCAGGGAAGAUAAUGACGGUACCUGACUAAGAAGCACCGGCUAAAUACGUG
rnacentral:rRNA from 1 species